UCGGAGCUACGGCAGGGGCAGGGGUCGAGGCAGGGGUCGGAACUUCCGUGGGCGUGGAAGAGGAGGGUAUGGUGGUGCUCUGGACACUCAGCAAGAUGCUGGUGGCUACAUCCAAGAAGCACCUGUUCAGGGCCGAGGCCGUGGACGUGGCAGGGGACCUCGUGGCAGGGGACGUGGAUUCAGACCUAAUGGGCCACCAAUCCAUGUUGCUGCUUAGUUGGUCAAACUUGGAAGCAACACAGAGAUUAUGUUCUAUGAGUGCCUGCUCCUUUUUUUUCAACGUUUUUCUUUCAUUUGUUCGUAUUAACUUUAGGUUAUUUUGAUAAUGUAAUCAGUGUAGACUAGCAUUAGAACUCAGUACCACCCUCCUUGUGGUGAGCAUUUUUGUUUUCCUUAAGAUCUUUCAUGUUUUUUCAAGUAGGUUAGGUGUUUGAUCAAGUGUAAUUUCAAUAGCGAGCAGCACAUUCUUUUAUAUGUUUGUCAGGUAUUCAGUGUUGACUUCAUUCCCAAGGACUGCCAAUAAUACCCUGUUUACUGUA